CUAGUUUCAUCCCCUAACAUGAGG
rnacentral:siRNA from 1 species